rnacentral:rRNA from 1 species
CCCUUAGAUGUUCUGGGCUGCACGCGCGCUACACUGUCGGAUUCAGCGAGUCAUAUCCUUAACCGAAAGGUUUGGGUAAUCUUUUGAAAGUCCGACGUGAUGGGGAUUGAUCAUUGCAAUUAUUGAUCAUGAACGAGGAAUUCCUAGUAAGCGCGAGUCAUCAGCUCGCGUUGAUUACGUCCCUGCCCUCUGUACACACCGCCCGUCGCUACUACCGAUUGAAUGGUUUAGUGAGAUCUUCGGAUUGGCGCCUACGCGGCUUCUCUGAGGCCACGCUGGAUGCCGAAAAGUUGCUCAAACUGUAUCAUUUAGAGGAAGUAAAAGUCGUAACA